rnacentral:rRNA from 1 species
UAAGGAAUAUUGGUCAAUGGACGCAAGUCUGAACCAGCCAUGCCGCGUGAAGGAUGAAGGUCCUCUGGAUUGUAAACUUCUUUUAUCUGGGACGAAAACGGGAUUUUUAUCUCAAUUGACGGUACCAGAGGAAUAAGCACCGGCUAACUCCGUGCCAGCAGCCGCGGUAAUACGGAGGGUGCGAGCGUUAUCCGGAUUUACUGGGUUUAAAGGGUGCGUAGGUGGGCUUAUAAGUCAGUGGUGAAAUCUCCGAGCUUAACUUGGAAACUGCCGUUGAUACUAUAGGUCUUGAAUUGUCUGGAGGUAAGCGGAAUAUGUCAUGUAGCGGUGAAAUGCUUAGAUAUGACAUAGAACACCAAUUGCGAAGGCAGCUUACUACACAAUCAUUGACGCUGAGGCACGAAAGCGUGGGUAGCGAACA